rnacentral:misc_RNA from 1 species
AGCAGCCGCGGUAAUUCCAGCUCCAAUAGCGUAUAUUAAAGUUGUUGCAGUUAAAAAGCUCGUAGUUGAAUUUCGGGAUCAGUUGGUCGGUCGUGCCUCGGUACGUACUGGUCAAAUUGAUUCCUACCUUCUGACGAACCACGAUGUCAUUAAUUUGGUGUCGCGGGAAAUCAGGACUGUUACUUUGAAAAAUUAGAGUGUUUAAAGCAGGCUCGCGCUUGAAUACAUUAGCAUGGAAUAAUGAAAUAGGACGUUUGAUUCUAUUUUGUUGGUUUCUAGGAUCGACGUAAUGAUUAAUAGGGAUAGUUGGGGGCAUUAGUAUUCAAUUGUCAGAGGUGAAAUUCUUGGAUUUAUUGAAGACUAACUACUGCGAAAGCAUUUGCCAAGGAUGUUUUCAUUAAUCAAGAACGAAAGUUAGGGGAUCGAAGACGAUCAGAUACCGUCGUAGUCUUAACCAUAAACUAUGCCGACUAGGGAUCGGAUGAUGUUAAUUUUUAAUGACUCAUUCGGCGCCUUAC